UACAGAGGUCUCAAGCGUUGUUCGGAUUCAUUGGGCGUAAAGGGUGCGUAGGCGGCGCGGUAAGUCGGGUGUGAAAUCUCGGAGCUUAACUCCGAAACUGCAUUCGAUACUGCCGUGCUUGAGGACUGGAGAGGAGACUGGAAUUUACGGUGUAGCGGUGAAAUGCGUAGAUAUCGUAAGGAAGACCAGUGGCGAAGGCGGUCUCUGGACAGUUCCUGACGCUGAGGCACGAAGGUCAGGGGAGCAAACGGG
rnacentral:rRNA from 1 species